ensembl:lncRNA
GAGAAUCCAGAAACUUUGAGAAUUCUGCUUAUACCUCAAACUUGAGAAAUGCGAGUUCCUCCGUGACCAUUGUCCAUUUCCAUUUCCAUGUCAUCAACCAACACAGGAUCCACAUGGACCAGAAGAAGGUACAGGCAGCUGAGAAUUCGCCACAACCCACAACCAUGAUGGAACUACAAUGCUUCUUGGGGUUUAAAUUUUUUUACAGGAGGUUCAACAGCAACUUCAAUAACAUCUGCUCACCUCUAACCUCCUUGCUGAAACAUGGGGCCAAGUCUCUGUUCUGGAACACUGAAGCAUCCAACACCUUCAACCAUCUCAAGAAAGCCUUAUGUGUUGCUCCUAUUGAAAUGCAUCCCAAUCCAGAACUGCAUAGGAGCCAUAUUGUCUCAGCGCCAGGGUGAGCCUUCCAAACUCCAUUCAUGUGCCUUUUAAUCUAAACUAUGACAUCGGUAACCACAAACUGCUGGCCAUCAAACUUGCCUUAGAAGAGUGGCGCCAUGGGAGCUAAACAUAUCCAUGUUUCUCGCCACUUACCUGAGGGAAAUCUGGUUCCCCUUCCUGUAUCUAACAGGCCAUUGUCACAUAUUGGAAUUGAUUUCAUCAAAGACGCGCCUUCUUCGGAUUCUCGCAAAUGCAUCCUGGUCAUUGUAGACUGCUUCUCAUAAGCGUGUAAGUUGAUUCCUUUGAAUGGACUAUCCACUAUCUUUGAAACUGCCGAGACCCUCUUCCAACAAGUCUUUUGUUAUUUUGGGAUCCCUGAAGAUAUUGCCUCUGACCACGGACCUCAAUUCAUUUUCAGAGUGUGGAACACCUUCAAGUUACUCUGAGUCACAGUCAGCUUAACAUCAGGAUAUCAUCUGCUGUCUAACAGCCAGACUGAGUGUAAGAUACAAGAAAUCUGGAGAUAUCUGCGGCCAUAUUUUCCAUGAACAUCAAGACAGCUGGAGCUGCUACUGUCCAUGGGCCGAGUAUGCACAGAACUCUCUGAGUCAAGCCACCACCAGGUUAACAACCUUACAGUGCAUACUCUGCUAAUUACUGCCUCUGUUUGAGCCUUCUGACAUUCCAGCUUUCCACCAUUAGUUCAAGGAGAGCGAGAGGGUUUGGGACUCAGCUCACAUCCACCUGCAGAUUGCAGUUCGAAGAUACAAGAGCCAGGCUGAUGCUAGAAGAUCAGCGACACCCCAGUAUCAUCCAGGGCAGAUGGUGGCUCUCAACCAGGGACACCCGCCUUCGACUGCCCUGUCGCAAGCUGAGUCCCUGCUAUGUUGGUCAAUUCACAUUCCAGAGGGUGUGCCUCUUCCUCCAAUGGAUCCUUCGGAGGAGAACAUCUACAGAGUCAACACCAACCUAGACUUCCGAUGACAGGGUGGUCGCCUAGAGUACCUCGUAGACUGGGAGGGGUUCGGCCCAGAGGAAAGAUCUUGGGUUCCCAAUGAUGACAUACUAGACCCAUCUCUGCUCCUUGAAUUCCACACGAAUCACCCCGAUAGUCCAGCAUUGAGAGGCAGAGGCCACCGCUGUCGCCCCUUUUCUCCAUUCAGUAUCCAUCUGCAUCCAACUUCCAGAUCCAGCUUACCAACACCAGUUCAUCAAAACCCACAAUGAUAAGACUGUUAUUCAAUGAACUAUCUCAGAAUUGCUCUGUUGAUCAAUCACUUACCUGCUAUGUACGUGUAUCUGUCAAAACCUGCAAUAAACCUGUUGUUUGGAUU